rnacentral:rRNA from 1 species
GAUGAACGCUGGCGGCGUGCCUAAUACAUGCAAGUCGAGCGAAUGGAUUAAGAGCUUGCUCUUAUGAAGUUAGCGGCGGACGAGUGAGUAACACGUGGGUAACCUGCCCAUAAGACUGGGAUAACUCCGGGAAACCGGGGCUAAUACCGGAUAACAUUUUGAACUGCAUGGUUCGAAAUUGAAAGGCGGCUUCGGCUGUCACUUAUGGAUGGACCCGCGUCGCAUUAGCUAGUUGGUGAGGUAACGGCUCACCAAGGCAACGAUGCGUAGCCGACCUGAGAGGGUGAUCGGCCACACUGGGACUGAGACACGGCCCAGACUCCUACGGGGGGCAGCAGUAGGGAAUCUUCCGCAAUGGACGAAAGUCUGACGGAGCAACGCCGCGUGAGUGAUGAAGGCUUUCGGGUCGUAAAACUCUGUUGUUAGGGGAGAACAAGUGCUAGUUGAAUAAGCUGGCACCUUGACGGUACCUAACCAGAAAGCCACGGCUAACUACGUGCCAGCCACCGCAGUAA